rfam:Hordeum vulgare subsp. vulgare, WGS project CAJW01000000 data, contig: morex_contig_1573058
UAUAUACUCCCUCUGUCCGAAAAUACUUGUCCUAGAAAUAGAUGUAUCUAGACUUAUNUUAGUUAUAGAUACAUUCAUUUUGUACAUUUCUAGGACAAGUAUUUCCGGACGGAGGGAGUAUAUU